rnacentral:rRNA from 1 species
AGAGUUUGAUCCUGGCUCAGAACGAACGCUGGCGGCGUGGAUUAGGCAUGCAAGUCGAACGGGAUCUCUUGGACGGACGCUUCGGUUGAAGUCCUUGAGUGAGAGUGGCGAACUGGUGAGGAACGCGUGGGCAAUCUGCCCUGAAGUCUGGGAUAGCCCUUGGAAACGAGGAGUAAUACCGGAUGUGAUCGCCCCGCACCUGCGGGGUUGUUUAAAGGUGGGGAUCUUCGGACCUGCCGUUUCAGGAUGAGCCCGCGCACUAUCAGCUUGUUGGUGAGGUAAUGGCUCACCAAGGCGUAGACGGUUAGCUGGUCUGAGAGGAUGGUCAGCCACACUGGGACUGAGACACUGCCCAGACUCCUACGGGAGGCUGCAGUCGAGAAUCAUUCGCAAUGCACGAAAGUGUGACGAUGCGACGCCGCGUGGAGGAUGACGGCCUUCGGGUUGUAAACUCCUGUCAUGAGGGAAGAAUGUUCUGUCGAUUAAUACCCGGCGGGAGUGACGGUACCUCAAGAGGAAGCCACGGCUAACUCUGUGCCAGCAGCCGCGGUAAUACAGAGGUGGCGAGCGUUGUUCGGAUUUACUGGGCGUAAAGGGUGCGUAGGCGGUUCUGUGUGUCGGAUGUGAAAUCUCACCGUCCAACGGUGAAACUGCAUUCGAAACUGCAGAACUAGAGUGCAGGAGAGGAAAGUGGAAUUCUCGGUGUAGCGGUGAAAUGCGUAGAUAUCGAGAAGAACGCCGACGGCGAAGGCAACUUUCUGGACUGAUACUGACGCUGAUGCACGAAGGCUGGGGGAGCGAAGAGGAUUAGAUACCCUCGUAGUCCCAGCCGUAAACGGUGUGCACUUGGUGUGGGUGGCUUUGUCCCCAUCCGUGCCGUAGCUAACGCGUUAAGUGCACCGCCUGGGGAGUACGGCCGCAAGGCUAAAACUCAAAGGAAUUGACGGGGGCCCGCACAAGCGGUGGAGCAUGUGGCUUAAUUCGAUGCAACGCGAAGAACCUUACCUGGGCUUGACAUGGUACUGCACGCCCCGUGAAAGCGGGGUUCCUUCGAGGGUGUACCACAGGUGCUGCAUGGCUGUCGUCAGCUCGUGCCGUGAGGUGUUGGGUUAAGUCCCGCAACGAGCGCAACCCUUGUCGUUAGUUGCCACUCCCUUCGGGGAAGCACUCUAACGAGACUGCCUGUGAUAAGCAGGAGGAAGGUGGGGAUGACGUCAAGUCAGUAUGGUCCUUAUGUCCAGGGCUGCACACGUGCUACAAUGGACGGUACAGAUCGAGGCAAUACCGCGAGGUGGAGCAAAUCGCUAAAACCGUCCCCAGUUCGGAUUGUAGUCUGCAACUCGACUACAUGAAGUUGAAAUCGCUAGUAAAGGCGUAG